AAGCCAGCAGCCCAAUUUGGGCAGGGCCUGGCACCCCUCUCCCUGCUCAUCCAUGUGGAUUACCCUGAGCCAUUAGCAGGACCAUCUGGCUCGCAUCUACAUGGGUGGGCACCCCCCUCUCACCUUUCCCUCCCCACCUGCUGGAGACCCCUGCCCAGCGUUGCUGGCAGGGGUCCUACCCUACCUGACCCACCAUCUUUGCCCCCCCAACCCUCCAUAUUGCCAGACACCCAGCCCUCUGAAAUAACACCUCCAGCCCCACCUCAUCCAACCCUAGCCCAUCAGGGGAUUAAAUACAUAUGAAGCCUCCGGAGAAUUUGAAACAUCGAGUCAGGGGAUGAGAGGUUCCCUCCAUUGACCAAGGUAUUCCCAAGGUGGCGUGGUGGCUCUGCGGAUUUUUACAGGGACUGGGAUCUUGCAAGAGAGGUUUUGGAAGCCAGCUGAUGGAAUUCUGGCUGGGAAAUGACCACCUUCACCUGCUGACCUCCUUGGGCAAUUCGCUUUCUUGUCAUGCCUUUCUCAACCAAGGACAAACAGCAGGAGCCCAAGAACCGGAAAUAUGCACAGGUGCAUAAAAGAGUUGGUGGUACAACGACUGCCACCUCUACAACAUGGACCUUUUCAACUGGAA